ensembl:lncRNA TCL6 T cell leukemia/lymphoma 6
AGAGACAACAGAUUUACAUCCCAGACACAUUCACACUGGGCCAAGAGCAGCUGCCAUUGCAGAUUCGAGUCACGUCCUUUUUUCCUUCCUUCUCCUUCUUGGAGUUACAACAGAAGCUGGGGAGGUGAGAGUGCAGAAAGGACGUGGAUGAAGCAGAGAGGCACGUGCCUGUCUCAUUCGCCUCUGGAUCUGCUGCAUCCAGGACUGUGCCAGCACAAAGUGGGAGCCCGAUAAAUAUUUAUUGAAGAAAUGAAAGGUGACAAAAGGCAGAAGGAGGGAGACCCCAAAAAGAGCUCCCCAUCCAUCCUGCUGAGAGCCACCUCCACCACUCAGUGAAACCGCUGCAUUCAUCCUUCAAGUUUAUGUGUGACCUGAUUCUUCCUGGACAUUGGACAAAGACCUAGGUCCAGUGAACUGUCUAACACUUAAGUCAUCCACGGACAGCAAGGCUAACAGAACGCUGUAACAUGUGCCCACUUGGACUCUGGGAGUUGCAGACACCCACCCAUAGGUGCUGCCAUGGGUCCGGAGCCCAAAAAGUGCUUGCCCUGGCUCCUGCACCUGCCCGUCUGCAUGCUCCCCCUCCGGUAAGGGGUUUGAGGAUGUGGCGGCUGAACAUAAGAGCUAUGCCCCUGUCACACAUCAUGGGACAGGGGUCAGGGAACUCUCCCAUUUCACUUUCAAAUAUUCCAGGUCCCCUUUUUGUUCGGGAGCCAGAGUCUAAUGGAGACAGAGAUAGAAACCCUGAAAUAGGAUCCAGGCAAUAUAAACCUACACGCUGUAAGCCAA